UACGUAGGGUGCAAGCGUUGUCCGGAAUUAUUGGGCGUAAAGAGCUCGUAGGUGGCCUGUCGCGUCGGCUGUGAAAACUCGGGGCUCAACUCCGAGCUUGCAGUCGAUACGGGGCAGGCUAGAGUUCGGCAGGGGAGACUGGAAUUCCUGGUGUAGCGGUGAAAUGCGCAGAUAUCAGGAGGAACACCGGUGGCGAAGGCGGGUCUCUGGGCCGAUACUGACACUGGAGGAGCGAAAGCGUGGGGAGCGAACAGG
rnacentral:rRNA from 1 species